rnacentral:ncRNA from 2 species
CUGAUCGACGCGGGAGAGUUCUGCGCGAAUCGGCCCCCACCGGGGCCGGGUCGCAAGGACGCCGAAGGAGCAACCGCCCCGGAAACUCUCAGGCACCAAGGACCGCGUGGAUCAA